rnacentral:rRNA from 1 species
UACGUAGGCAGCGAGCGUUGUUCGGAAUUACUGGGCGUAAAGCGUGCGCAGGCGGUGAUGUAAGACAGAUGUGAAAUCCCCAGGCUCAACCUGGGAACUGCAUUUGUGACUGCAUCGCUGGAGUGCGGCAGAGGGGGAUGGAAUUCCGCGUGUAGCAGUGAAAUGCGUAGAUAUGCGGAGGAACACCGAUGGCGAAGGCAAUCCCCUGGGCCUGCACUGACGCUCAUGCACGAAAGCGUGGGGAGCAAACAGG